CCGGGCUGCUUUCUUGGACGUUUCCUCCCUAAACUUGGCGGCACGAUGACGUGCCGCCAUUUUUUUUGUCCCGA
rnacentral:sRNA from 1 species